GAUUAACGCUAGCGGCAGGCAUAAUACAUGCAAGUUGAACGGCAGCACAGGUAGCAUUACUGGGUGGCGAGUGGCGCACGGGUGCGUAACACGUAUGCAACCUACCCUAUACAGGCGAAUAACCUUUAGAAAUUAGGGCUAAUACCCCGUAGUAUUACAGAUGGGCAUCUAUUUGUAAUUAAAGAUUUAUCGGUAUAGGAUGGGCAUGCGUCCCAUUAGUUAGUUGGUAAGGUAACGGCUUACCAGGACGAUGAUGGGUAGGGGAUCGGAGGGGACUUACCCCCACAGUGGUACUGGCACACGGACCAGAGUGCUACGGGAGGCAGCAGUAAGGAAUAUAGCGCAAGGGAAGAGAGGAUGACGCAGCCAUGCCGCGUGCAGGAAGACGGCCUUAUGGGUUGUAAACUGCUUUUAUACGGGAAUAAUCGAGUGUACGCGUACAUUUAUGCAAGUAACGUAUGAAUAAGCAUCGGCUAACUCCGUG
rnacentral:rRNA from 1 species